AUUGAACGCUGGCGGCAGGCCUAACACAUGCAAGUCGAACGGUAACAGGAAACAGCUUGCUGUUUCGCUGACGAGUGGCGGACGGGUGAGUAAUGUCUGGGAAACUGCCUGAUGGAGGGGGAUAACUACUGGAAACGGUAGCUAAUACCGCAUAACGUCGCAAGACCAAAGAGGGGGACCUUCGGGCCUCUUGCCAUCGGAUGUGCCCAGAUGGGAUUAGCUAGUAGGUGGGGUAACGGCUCACCUAGGCGACGAUCCCUAGCUGGUCUGAGAGGAUGACCAGCCACACUGGAACUGAGACACGGUCCAGACUCCUACGGGAGGCAGCAGUGGGGAAUAUUGCACAAUGGGCGCAAGCCUGAUGCAGCCAUGCCGCGUGUAUGAAGAAGGCCUUCGGGUUGUAAAGUACUUUCAGCGGGGAGGAAGGGAGUAAAGUUAAUACCUUUGCUCAUUGACGUUACCCGCAGAAGAAGCACCGGCUAACUCCGUGCCAGCCGCCGCAGUAAUAC
rnacentral:rRNA from 1 species